GUGUAACCAUGUGUCUAUAAACAGCAGGAGACAAUGAAGUAGAAACUGUGCUCAGGGGGAUCAUGGCAGUUGAGGGAGCAGCCUUCAAGCCUUUCAUUACACAAAUGAGGUGUUCGCAUCAUGUUUUACAGUGGCUUCCAACCCUGUUCACCCAAUUUGCUCUAUGGUAACAAGAAACCAGACAGCCAGAGUCUACGGAGUUUAAUGGGUCACAUGAUUUUUCUGGAAUCAGCCUACAAGAUCUCCAUGCAUGCCCAGAUGAUCCCUGCCAUGGCUGCGUUCAAUGCUGUCAUCUCAUACUGCUGAGGUCUUGAUUCAUGUUCUGUGUCCUCCAGAAUCAAUUCCUGGAUCUCCCUUUUCUCUGGGCUUCCAAGCUCUUUGAUUAAUAGGCAGCAGUUGGUUAAAAUGUCAGCAGCACGUGCCCUCUCCUGUUUUAAAACGAGCCAGCCUGUCGCCUGCAUUCUCAUUUCAUUCAAUGCUGAUUUUAAACAUGCAUAGACACUUACCCUUGGUCCUGUUAUUUUCUCACCCCUUUUCACAUGGCGACAGGCCAUUUACCAAGGUCUACCCAAGCAUAUCCACUUCCCACGCUUAAAUAUGCAGGAGACCUAUGACAGCAGAGCUAUUAGUUGCUAUGCACCUCAGUGCCACCUCUGCCUGAUUAUAUUAAUUCAUGUUACACUAGACUGAAGGAUUUUUUUAUAUGAUGUGGUUUUUUAUUAGUUGAAUUGUGAUACGUGUGAAAGGUACUAUGAAUCCGAAUUGUGAAGUUACUUAAGUCACCAUGAUCCAUCUAUAUCCCCCCAGGACAUACUGUUUAUGAUCGCUGUCUCCACACCCAUAUUAAAAGGAUUCUGUAUUUAUACUGUAUUUAAUUUCUCACCUGUUUAAUAUCCUAUUCUGUGUGUUUACUACCAUUCUCUAUUGUUUAAAUCGAUUGCUGAGCUCGCUGAAAGUCCUAUUUGAAAUCAGCUCACUAACCAGAAAUUCAGCUUUUAGGAGUCUUUCCAGAAGCAGCCCCCCUGGUUAAAAAUGAGACAUUAGUUAUUACGCCUAGUAAAUGAUCUCAGCAGAAACAGAAUUAUAUAUUAAAAAAAAAACACACACACACACACACACACACACAUACUAGGUAAGAAAUGAAAUAUUAAUUCUGCUCUGGAUUGCUCGGCAUAAAAGCGAUUCUGGCUUUAGGCUUGUGAGAUCAGAGGACGUUCGCAUGCCCUCAGAAUGUCUGUGAUGUGUGGGGACUCGCAAGACAUUGGACAUUCCAA